CCCCUGAUGAGCUUGCCAUGGCAGCCAAGGACACUGGUGCCGGAGGAAUGACAGGGGCCUGCAAAGGAACAUCCGAGGAGGGGGAAGCAAGCUGGGAGCAAGACCAGCCCAGCUAGGUUUCAGGGCAACAGCAAAUCCCCAGAGACAUGGAGGCAGAUGAGUCGACCUUGCUGGGUGAGAAGUGAGCUUGCACUGCAUAGGGGAAAAAGAAGGUGGACCCCACUCCUCCAGGAGGCUGACAGUCUCAGCCAGGUACAAUGGAGGGUCCAGGUCACAAGGAAGGGGGCUAUGGUGAGCGUGCAUGGAGAAAGGUGGGUUUGCUGUGUGGAAGGAAGGAGGGGAGGGGAAGGGUGAGCAAAGUGGGGCUGCAGGCACCAGGCUGUGGCUGAUCUGUGGUCAGCCUGGAGCUCAGAGGCAGUUCUGGAUUAACAGGACACAUGGUGUGGCCACAAUUAGACCCACGGCCAUGCCACACAGAAGCUUCCGGUUGUCUCGUCCGGACCUUGCCAUUGUGGAAAAGCGCUUCACGCUCCCUGUAAGCAGGCCGGUCAUGCUUGUGAAAUCCGAGUCC
rnacentral:antisense_RNA from 1 species